UGUGUGUGUAUAUCUCUGACAGAUGCUGAGGGAACGUCCCAACGGCUCCCUCCACCGGUCUGAAAGUCAGCAAGCUGUGAAAUCCCCCCUCUACUGGACUCCCCUGACCCAGACCGAGAACAGAUAGUCAAACUCUCAACCAAGCUGAGCUCUGUGUCACUCAGAGGGAUCAGCGCCUCCAACUCGGCCAACGACGUCAGCGGCAACGAUUUCCAUGGCAACUACGCCUUUGAGGGGAUCGGGGACGAUGACCUGUAAUAUUCAACCCUCUUCCUCCUCCUCCUCAUCAUCCUCCCCCUGACUAACGCGGACCCGCAAAGAUUCCAAGCCGAGCUGAGCCAGGCAGAAAUGAGUUUGUCUGGUUCCUGAUUGUAGCCCUUCCCGAGGGUCUGCAAACCAACCAUAUCUUCUUGUUCCAUCCUCUUCCUAAAAGGCCGCAUCCUAAAUGACACCCUGUUUACUUACGCAGCGCGGCACUUUUUAAGCAGAGUCCUGUUGGCCAUUUGGGACACAGCCAAAACUGCCAUCUAUCUCAGUGGUUUCCCCGACCUUUUUUGAACCGUGCCACACUUUAAUGGGAGAUUUAAAAAAAAAUAAUUGGCACGCCUAAAAUAUCCCUAUUAAUUUGUUUUAGUGGUAAUGACCUCCAUCUGAUCUGAAACAUACUGCAAAUCAUCUAUUUUCUGUGACAAAUGUGUUUUAAUCGAUUAAAUAGGAUUAAUUUGAACUGUUUUCAUAGUUCCUUACUCAUGAUGGUUAAUUUGUGUGUACCCCUUUAAGAGAACCCAGGACUCUGCACUAUAUUUUGUAGUAUUUCCUGCUGGUUAAAUAGGUCUUUAAUUGUUAAAGGUUUAAGCUACAGACUAGUGGUUUUCUGCAUUGUAGAAGUGCAAACACAGACACCAAGCCAUGCUCCAUAAGAAAUGACUGACUUUGGCUAAGCCAAAUCAGACUUGCCUGUACUAAUGGUUUUCACAGACAAAAUCUAAUGGUUUUCACGGCCCAUUCUCUUGUUCAUCAAUCAACUCGUUGUUUCUCCUAUGUUCUUAAUAAAUGUCAAUAAUAUUUAGAGAAUAAAAUCUCAAACUCGCAGUCUUAAGCUGGAAGUGGUUUAAACGAGGCCAUCGCAACUGUCAUUUUGAACGUGUUAUUAUUAGCAUAAUAAUGGGCAAUGGAUGUUUUGCACUUCUGGACCAUGUAGCAGUCUAUAUAGAUUUAUGUUCUUCUGUAAAAAAUUAGGACAUUCCGUAAUUCUAAAAGGAGCCUCGUCUUCAUCACAAAGUGUCAUUCUAAGUGUAUUUUUGUGUUUUCUUUUAGUGUGUUGAUUCUGUCACAUCAGAAAUCCAAGGUACAAACCAGAUAACUGAUUUUGUAAAAAGGGUGUCAGAUUCUCUCUCUCUCUCUCAGAGCUGUGUCUUCUUCCUUUUGACAACCAA